rnacentral:rRNA from 1 species
GUGGGGAAUAUUGCACAAUGGGGGAAACCCUGAUGCAGCCAUGCCGCGUGUGUGAAGAAGGCCUUCGGGUUGUAAAGCACUUUCAGUUGUGAGGAAAGGUUGACGUUUAAUACGCGUUAACUGUGACGUUAGCAACAGAAGAAGGACCGGCUAACUCCGUGCCAGCAGCCGCGGUAAUACGGAGGGUCCGAGCGUUAAUCGGAAUUACUGGGCGUAAAGCGCGCGUAGGCGGCUUGGUCAGUCAGAUGUGAAAUCCCCGGGCUCAACCUGGGAAUUGCACCUGAUACUGCCAGGCUAGAGUACAGAAGAGGGUGGUGGAAUUUCCUGUGUAGCGGUGAAAUGCGUAGAUAUAGGAAGGAACAUCAGUGGCGAAGGCGGCCACCUGGUCUGAUACUGACGCUGAGGUGCGAAAGCGUGGGGAGCAAACAGGAUUAGAAACCCUAGUAGUCC